rnacentral:rRNA from 1 species
UACGUAGGGUGCGAGCGUUUAAUCGGAAUUACUGGGCGUAAAGCGUGCGCAGGCGGUUUUGUAAGCCAGAUGUGAAAUCCCCGGGCUCAACCUGGGAAUGGCAUUUGGGACUGCAAGGCUGGAGUACGGCAGAGGAGACUGGAAUUCCUGGUGUAGCAGUGAAAUGCGUAGAGAUCAGGAGGAAUACCGAUGGCGAAGGCAGGUCUCUGGGCUGAUACUGACGCUCAUGCACGAAAGCGUGGGGAGCAAACAGG